AGUAGACCACAGAGCAUGCUCCUUCUCCUCCAGUCUGCUGGGGCCCCCAGAGAGUCUGCAGCCCUUGGCCAGGGACCGGCUGACACAGGAGAACAAAAGACCUUAGGUUGGGAUAACAUGGUGGUGCAGUUGAUCCUCUGGAGCUCCCUGUGAGAUCAGACUGGAGCCAGUCUCCUGCUGAGACCACAUCUCACUUAGCUCGUUCCCUGCCAUAUCCUGUUUUCCUUACUCCUAUCUCCUGAGAGUUCUUCCUGAAUGAAUUACAUGCACUCAAUCCCUGCCUCAGGCUCUGCUUUUAGGGAACUUGACCUAAGACAGAAAUCUUAGUACUAAAUAAUUUGCAAGGCCUCAGAAGCUCUGCUAUCCACAAGCAGGUGAGAUAUUACCUUCCCUACCACCUGGCAGUCAUAGUCUAUGAUGCGAUUCAGCUUUAUGGAAGUGCUUCUCUAAAGAACAUCCCCCAAUUUAAAACGAUCUUAAUUUACUUACUUGUUUACUGUCCAUUUAGCUGCUCUAAAAUGUGAGCUCCAAAUCAGGGGCCAUGUCUGGUUGCUUACUCAUUUUCUGAGACCUAGAAUGGGCCUAGCUCAGAGCAGGUGCUCACUAUUGAUGGAAUGCAUGUUGAAAGAAUGCAUGAAUCUCAUCUCUUUUUGUGGGCGAAAAACUCAUCCUAUUCUCACCCUGAUUAACUUUCUUUCUUUCUUUAUUUUUUUUUUCAAAAUGGAGCCAUGAUCUGUCACCCAGGCUGGAGUGCAAUGGUGUGAUCUCAGCUAGCUGCAACCUCUGCCUUCUGGAUUAAACCAAUUCUCCUGCCUCAGCCUCCUGGGUAGCUGGGAUUACAGGUGUAUACCACCACGCCUGGCUAAUUUUUUGGAUUUUUAAUAGAGACAGUGUUUCACCAUGUUGGCCAGGCUGGUCUCGAACUCCUGACCUCGUGAUCCGCCCUCUUUGGCCUCCCAAAGUCCUGGGAUUACAGGCAUGAGCCACCGUACCCAGCCACUCUUGAUUAACUUAAUGGAAAUAUUUACAGAGAUUCUUUCUCUUCUGGGUUCUAGCGUCUUAUCUGUAACCUCUGCAG
rnacentral:lncRNA from 1 species